rnacentral:misc_RNA from 1 species
UCCCCAUUUGAGUGAGGCAGUCCGUCCAGAGUGCUCCCUUCUCUCGAGGGGGUGGCAACAGGACGCAGGGGUUGCGCUCGUUGCGGGACUUAAGGCAACACCUCACGGCGCGAGCUGACGACAGCCAUGCAGCACCUGUGCGGGCUCCCGUAGGAGGACCGUGUUUCCACGGCUUCACCCCGCAUGUCAAGGCCAGGUAAGGUUCUUCGCGUUGCAUCGAAUUGAGCCACAUACUCCACCGCUUGUGCAGGCCCCCGUCAAUUUCUUUGAGUUUUAAUCUUGCGACCGUACUUCCCAGGCGGCGUAUUUAUCGCGUUGGCUACGCCACAAAAGGGGUCGAUUCCUUUUACAGCAAAUACGCACCGUUUACAGCUAGGACUAC